rnacentral:misc_RNA from 1 species
UUAAGUUCAGCGGGUAUCCCUACCUGAUCCGAGGUCAACAUUUCAGAAGUUUGGUUGUUUUACGGCGUGGUCGCGCAUGGUGUCCGAUGCGAGGUGAGUUACUACGCAGGGGAUGCCGCAGCGUGACCGCCACUAUAUUUCGGGGGCGGCCUGCCACUGGCUCCGGAGAGCUAGCGGCGGUGGCCGAUCCCCAACACCAA